UGAUUUCUGCGUGUGACCAUAGUUAACAUGAAAGCCAUCCCUAUGCUCUGAGUCAGCAACGGCAGGGAUGACAUUGGACAAGAUGUCAUCAUAGAUGUCAACGGUAGGGAUGACAUUGGACAAGACCAAUAUGGAUCCUCACGAAUCUGGCACCGGGUGGAUCUGCCCACAGGAUUUCAAUGGUCACUAGGGACCUGCAGCGCGUGACAUUAGAAGGCGAGAUAGGAAGAACCGGGAAACAACCCCGGUACUGGCAUAGGUAUUCAUCUGGGUUGAACUGAAGGACAAGACUGUUGAAAAUGCAGACGAGCUGUUGGCCCUGGCCCACAUGGAGAGAGAGUAUGCCGGCCGGGCUCCUGGACUCACACAGCAGUGCCUGUUACACUGAAGUUUGAAAUGCUGACCCUCCAUGGCUUUCCCACUGAGGCUGAUCUAAGGAAGCUGGGUUGUGGCUUGGCUGCCAGGGUUUUCAAAGCUUCUCAGGCGAUUCCAGCCACGCCAAGCACUACUGCUGUCUGCUCUCCCCACUCCAGAGGCUGGAGAUCAGCUUCUGCUGACCCAUCCUUCUCUACUGUGACAAGAACCCCCGUGGAUCGAUCACCUUAGACAUCAGGUUCUGAGGGCAGAGACUUUGCAUUUGGGACCAGCUUUCAGGUGAUUCUGUGGCUCUGGGAACCACAAGGAAAGGGAGAUAAUCUGAUAACCACACCUCCCUGACACUGACCACCUGCAGUCACUUAGUGUCACCUACUUAGUUUCCACAAUGGUAUGAAUUUUACUAGAAGGUGUCUGAGUGAAAACCACGUCUUACAACUUGCAUGAGGCUCCAGUCCUCACAGCUGGACAGCUCCUUUCUCCUGCCACUGAGUUUGCUCCCAUGGAUCCUGAACCUGGCCACUUCUGCUUCCAGGAUUUAGCAUCUCAAAUUGCCUCAUUGGCCUAUGUCGGCCCCAUCUUGGGGUACUAGAAGGCAUGAGGGAGGCAGGACUGUGAAGAUUAGAAGAUAGUUGAGCUCUGAUCUUGUGGCCUCCUGGACUUUUGACCUUGAGCAAGUUUUCUGACGUCUCUGAGCCUUACUGUCCUUACAUAUAGAGGCAUGAAGAUGGCCACCUCAUAUCGGUGUGAUGCAGUAAGAAGAUGUAUAUAUAUAUAUCAGAGACUGCCAUGCUCAACAACCAAUAAUUAUUUCACUGAGGAAAUUAGAAAAAAGUUUUUUCUCUCUUUUUGAGACAGGGACUCACUAUAUGUAGCCCUGGCUAGCCUUGAUUAGCUGCGUACACCAGGCUGGCUUUUUUUUUUUUUACUUCGUUGAUUCUUUGUGGAUUUCACAUCAUGCAUUCUGAUCCCACUUAUAUCCUUGUCUCCUCAAACUCACCCUCUGCCCUUACAACCCCUCAAAUUAAAACCAAAUGUAAAAGAAAAACCAACAACCAAUCAAAGAAACAAAAUAAAAACAAUAACAAUAA